rnacentral:rRNA from 1 species
AUUGAACGCUGGCGGCAUGCCUUACACAUGCAAGUCGAACGGCAGCACGGGAGCAAUCCUGGUGGCGAGUGGCGAACGGGUGAGUAAAGUAUCGGAACGUGCCCAGUCGUGGGGGAUAACGCAGCGAAAGUUACGCUAAUACCGCAUACGAUCUAGGGAUGAAAGCGGGGGAUCGCAAGACCUCGCGCGAUUGGAGCGGCCGAUAUCAGAUUAGGUAGUUGGUGGGGUAAAGGCUCACCAAGCCGACGAUCUGUAGCUGGUCUGAGAGGACGACCAGCCACACUGGGACUGAAACACGGCCCAGACUCCUACGGGAGGCAGCAGUGGGAAUUUUGGACAAUGGGCGAAAGCCUGAUCCAGCCAUGCCGCGUGCAGGAUGAAGGCCUUCGGGUUGUAAACUGCUUUUGUACGGAACGAAAAGGUUUGGCCUAAUAAGCUGAGCUCAUGACGGUACCGUAAGAAUAAGCACCGGCUAACUACGUGCCAGCCGCCGCCGUAA